GUCUCCGUGGCGCAAUUGGUUAGCGCGUUCGACUGUUAGCGCCGUCGCAAUUCCAACUUACAACGCUUCAUGCCGGGGUCUCAUCGAGAGGUUGACAGUUCAAUCCUGUCCGGGGACG
rfam:Puccinia graminis f. sp. tritici CRL 75-36-700-3 supercont2.17 genomic scaffold, whole genome shotgun sequence.